GUAGUGAUGCUUUUACAAUCGAAAUCGAUGGUCUUUAUCCAGUUCUCAAAAUCUCCAAUUUCCUUAACGGCAGUGUUCAAAGCGUGAGUGGCGGCAAGCCAUUGAUCGGUCUGCUUCGUAAAUCGGGCAAUCGUAGUCGCUAAAGCCCUAAUUUCGAGCUCAAUCAACUUCUGAUUGACAAAAGAUUCCUGAACUCCACCAUUCACGGCAUCGACUAAAAGAUCCGAAACGCG
rnacentral:misc_RNA from 1 species